UGUUAAUAAAUUCGUGCUGCGCCUGCCGAGACCUCGACGACCGCUUAAAAUAGGCUUAAGUGCGCUAUGGAUAUUUUGGAGUCGUUAGCUUUAAAAUCUUCCUACCAUACCAUGUUGACUACUCCAUCUAGUCUUACAAUCCAAUUACAAACAUAAUUUUCUUCCAAACUGAUCUGUUACAAUAUUUUUGGCGGAUAAAUCUCCUUUUUUACUGGAGAUUUUCCGAUCAACUUCACAAUUUUACGGACUUUGUUAAUUAUUUCUUUAUAAUAUUCUACUAAUUCCGUUAAUGAAACUUCGUUUUCAAAUUCGGUGAAUGCUGCAUCGUCCGAUUCAUCCGAGGCAGAAUCCUCCUUUUCGCUUUCAAUCUCAACAGCUAACCGAAGGCUAUGAAGAUAAUACUGCGCUUGUUCUACAAGAAAAACACAAAUUUAUUUAUUUAAGCAAAGUAAAUUUUUAAAUCUUUUAAAUUUAUAACCUAACAACAUCUAGCUCUGCAUUUAACAGUUUCUCCGUUCUUAUGA